GGCUGGUCCAAAGGUAGUUAGUUGAGUUAUCUCAGUUGGUUGUUCAUAGGCAGUAACAGAUCAAACUCCUUAUUCUUCUCUGUCCCCUCUUCUCAAUACUGCACUUGACUAGUCUAAA
rnacentral:Y_RNA from 1 species